UCAGGACGAACGCUGGCGGCGUGCCUAAUACAUGCAAGUCGAGCGGACAGAUGGGAGCUUGCUCCCUGAUGUUAGCGGCGGACGGGUGAGUAACACGUGGGUAACCUGCCUGUAAGACUGGGAUAACUCCGGGAAACCGGGGCUAAUACCGGAUGGUUGUUUGAACCGCAUGGUUCAAACAUAAAAGGUGGCUUCGGCUACCACUUACAGAUGGACCCGCGGCGCAUUAGCUAGUUGGUGAGGUAACGGCUCACCAAGGCAACGAUGCGUAGCCGACCUGAGAGGGUGAUCGGCCACACUGGGACUGAGACACGGCCCAGACUCCUACGGGAGGCAGCAGUAGGGAAUCUUCCGCAAUGGACGAAAGUCUGACGGAGCAACGCCGCGUGAGUGAUGAAGGUUUUCGGAUCGUAAAGCUCUGUUGUUAGGGAAGAACAAGUACCGUUCGAAUAGGGCGGUACCUUGACGGUACCUAACCAGAAAGCCACGGCUAACUACGUGCCAGCAGCCGCGGUAAUACGUAGGUGGCAAGCGUUGUCCGGAAUUAUUGGGCGUAAAGGGCUCGCAGGCGGUUUCUUAAGUCUGAUGUGAAAGCCCCCGGCUCAACCGGGGAGGGUCAUUGGAAACUGGGGAACUUGAGUGCAGAAGAGGAGAGUGGAAUUCCACGUGUAGCGGUGAAAUGCGUAGAGAUGUGGAGGAACACCAGUGGCGAAGGCGACUCUCUGGUCUGUAACUGACGCUGAGGAGCGAAAGCGUGGGGAGCGAACAGGAUUAGAUACCCUGGUAGUCCACGCCGUAAACGAUGAGUGCUAAGUGUUAGGGGGUUUCCGCCCCUUAGUGCUGCAGCUAACGCA
rnacentral:rRNA from 1 species